UACGUAGGGGGCGAGCGUUGUCCGGAUUUAUUGGGCGUAAAGAGCGUGUAGGCGGCUUUACAGGUCCGUUGUGAAAACUCGAGGCUCAACCUCGAGACGCCGGUGGAAACCGUAAAGCUAGAGUCCGGAAGAGGAGAGUGGAAUUCCUGGUGUAGCGGUGAAAUGCGCAGAUAUCAGGAAGAACACCCGUGGCGAAGGCGGCUCUCUGGGACGGUACUGACGCUGAGACGCGAAAGCGUGGGGAGCGAACGGG
rnacentral:rRNA from 1 species